GCCUUAAUCCACCAUCUGCCAAGCGCUUCGACCACGGUGGUCGCAAGUUACUGCCGAUGGCUCUCCACUCUGGAUAAUUGCUGGGCUUGUAGCUAUCGGGCGGAACUCAUCGAUUCAUCAGCUGCUGAGCUUUGAUGUGCUCCGGCCAGCUAGUAUUUUCCAAGUAUUGUCAAAUUAGAAUCGAUUGACAAGCUUCGGCCAAGUAUUCGGAGAGUCUCUACUCUCUAGGAGAAAGAGAAAGAGAGGUGGGCGCCGCCGACGAGCCGCGCUCUCCGUUCCGUGCGAGAGGACGGCGACCAGAUCGAGAUGCCGACCACUGUUUUACUUCCUUUUGGAUUUUUUUGAAAAAGAAAAACAACGAGCGGUGCGGCUGGGCCUAGCUGUCCAUAGCACUAAACACACGCCUAUUUUAAGCGAAACUGCCAAUUAUAUCUUUCCCUUUUUUUUCUUCCAGAAAACAAGCCGGAAUUCCAUGCGUUCAAGCUUUGACGAUGUACUGUAGAAUUUUUCUUCUUCUUCUUCUUCUUUUUGGGCUUAAGAUUAAGAAGAAAUUUUUUCGCAAAGAAAAAAAAAGAUAAGAAGAAUCGGGGAUUAAUUUUGGCAUCCACACACUAGUCUUUUGCCUCUUCCUCCUCAUCAGGUGACUUUUGUCUCUGUUACGCUCUGCCUCUGCCCACGCAAAACUCUUUGCACAAACACGUAUAGCUACGUGCUCGGCGUACCUUCAAAACUGACGCAACAACUGGCCCGCUGUCUUGUCGAACCUUCUGUCACGAUGCCAAUUUUUUUUUCUUCUGUAGUUUGGUUUCCGUCCGUAAACCAAAACGUACACGAUUCUUCUCCUCCUAUACCUAUCCCCAUCUAGGUUUUCUCUCCUCAGCAUGCAUCCCGAUCCCGUGUGGCUAUUAUCUCCUUCCUCGCCUCUUUCCCUUACCCUCUUCUUUCGUCUUCCUCUCCAAAACAAGAAAUCGAGCCAUCUGUAGAUGUUUUCCAUCUGCCGACCUGAAAGAUAGCACAUCUUUUCUGCAUGGCUUCGACGCCUAUCGAAGCUCCGGCGGCCGCAGUCCAUGAUGGCCAAGACGGCGACGGCCAAACCUCUCUUCUUGAUUGGAUCUUAUUAUAAUUGGAUUUCUCGUUCCAUGGUGUAGGAGGCCGGACGGCCGGCCGAUACUAAUCAACUCAUCUUCUUCUUGUUCGGUAGGUAGGAUUUUUCGGAUCUCGCCCUUAUAAGAUGCGUAUAUAUUCAAGAGUAAUCGCCUCCAAGAUUGUUCCAUGUUUUCUCAACCCUCAAAUCUGAUUGUUCAUGCCUGCCGGAUCUCCUCGUGGCCGGCUCUAUACAUGGUGUCUGAUUCAACCUUGUUGUCUUGUCCGUGUAUACUAUGUGGCGUUCAUUGUGUAUGAACACGGGUCGAUCUGAGCUGAUAAUGAGCUCCUCGUUACCGCUUGUUGUCAGCUAGUCUCCCCUUCUUCAGAUACUAUGAUUUCUCUCUGAUUUGAGGAUUUCAUCGCUACAAAGAUAUAGUGGCAAAGACCUCUUAUGCGACGCGCGGACUAGUCCCAAAACGAGGAACAACAGGCUAAUACUACCAGCGCCACAUGGUUGCUUCUCAGUCAGAUCAAGAUCAGUUUUAGUCCCACGAGCAGAUUCCAGACUAACCACCCAAAACGCUAGGAUUUGGUCUCUGAAUUUGCCUGUUAAUGGACAGAUUUUCUUGUUGAAUGGUGUACUACCUUUUCCAGAUAUAAGAGCUCAAUGGCCAGCUAGUCUCCCAUGAUUUCUCUUUGACGUCCAACAACUUCGAGAAAUUUGAUCGCUACGAUGAUAUACUGGCAAAAACCUCUUACGCAACACAAGGACUAGUCCCAAAAUGAGGAACGACAGGCGAAUACUACUCGGCACCACUUGGUUGUUUCUCAGUCAGAACACAUUCGGUUUUAGUCCCACAAGUAGAUUCCCGACUAACCACCCAAAACGCCAGCACUACUGUCAUUCAUAACAUCAUAAGCAAGUUCCACCAAUGGAGGGUUCAUAACAGCAUUCAAAUGGAAGCAUGAAAUUUAACUAAGGCAUUAUCGCCGGUACGCUAUAUCAAAAUCUGAGAUAUAUGAAAAGAUAAAGGAGUCUGCCAGGUUUUAAGCUCUAUCAAAAUCUGCGAUAUACAAAAGAUAAAGGAGUCUUCCGGGUUUUAAGCAGGUUUCCUCAAAUCAGAGAUAAGCUACUGUUGCCAAGCAUGUAUAGCUAUUGCAUUAAUGUCACACUUCUAUGUCAACAGAUCACACGCAGUUACAGUCACAAGAUAGUGUUGCCAAAUUCUCAGCGAUAUUCAAGUCUUCUAUGGAUGAUAUCAGUUUUAAAAGAAAAAGAAGUAUUGAUGGAUACUUUGAGCAAAGAUGUGGCAGUUGAUGUCCAGUUCUGCAGAUUGCAUGCAAUUUGGAUAAAAAAUUAUACUCCCUCCAUUCCAAAUUAAUUGACUUGAAUUUGCCUAAAUACGGAUGUAUCCGUGUCUAGAUAAACAUGGGUCAAGUAAUUUGGAAAGGAGGGAGUACCAAUGAGAAAUAUGCUACUGUUCACAGUAAGUAUGUGUAUAUAUAUUAUAUAUAUUGCAGAAAUAAGUCCUGGGGAUAGCAUGCCAAUGGGAUGGAACAAUUCAACCAA